rnacentral:lncRNA from 1 species
CCUCAGUCCACCAUUUCAAAGUGGAGAUACUUCAUUGUAGCCUUUCUUGAGUUAACAUAGGUUUGAUUAGUAGCUUUUUGAGUUAAAUACUUUGUCAUGAGUCCCUCACGGCUUUUUCAUUGGAGCAUACCCGAAGCUUCUAAACUCUUGGCUGAAAUCUAAAAUGUGGUUAUGGAACCACAGCAGUUUGAAACUCAAUUUCAGACUUUUUCAGCUGAUAAUGGCAUAGAAUUCCUUUUCACAUAAUUUUAUCGAAAAAAUUAUCUGUAGAAUCUAACAAUUUGUUCUGUUUGAAGCAUCAAGUUCUCUUCUACCCUUCUGCUUGGCUAAAUAGAGUAUUUACCCAAUCAUAAUUAAGGAAUAUAUAUCGGAUAGGCUGCUCUUUUGUUACUCGUUAUUUCCCUUAACCCUUUAGAUUUUGUUGUUUCUGUCAUGACAUUGACGAUAUUAUUAUGCACGAAUACAAAACUUUGCUAUCAAAAAAAUUACAAAUAUAACAU